CGGAUUGUUUAGUUAUACAACCGGAUUAAUUGAGCAAGGCGGGAGUCGUUAAUACCAUGGCGACGUAACUUCGCGAAUUGCUGGAACAUCCUAAAACUAUCUGAGCUACAACGUGGCUGGCAACGGCGAGCGUGAAUGCGUAAAAAUCGGAUAGAUGAAACAAUGGACAAUCAGCAGCCAAGCGCCUUUGGAAACAGAGGUGAAGGUCCAACGACUAUUAAAAGUUCCUACGUUACACCUUAUUCCAUAUGAGGGAGUAAUAUGGAACCAGUAAAUCGUAGUCGACGGAGACGUUACUACGAGGCGCGAAGCAAGGAAGAACUUCAACAGCUUCUUAUUUUAGCUUUACAAUCAGGAGGAUAAUCAAGCUGAAUCGAAAGUGUGAAAAGUUUACUUCCUUGAUGAUAUAGUCUGAACUCAUGUGAAAGCAUGAG
rnacentral:ncRNA from 1 species